UUAGCUUCUUGGCAGGGGUGACAUGAUGACCAGAAGGUGAUUUUCCCAGGGAAAAGCUCAUCAGAUGUGUUUUUACCCGUAAUUUCCUCAGAUGCAGCAAACAGCUAUGUAUUUUGUGAUAUGGGUGAACUGCAUUUGAGCUCUCCCCCU
rnacentral:snRNA from 9 species